AUGACUCUCAUCACCAUCCUCAUCUGGACGCUGGCCUGCUGCUGUUUUACAGGAUGCAGCGGUCAGGUGACUGUGACUCAGCCUCCAGUACUCACAACUACUCCAGGAUCCACUGUCACUCUGACCUGUCAGACCAACCCUGCUGUUAAAACAUGGUCAGAUGGAACCAGUAGAAGACACUGGUAUCAACAGAAAUCUGGACAAGUUCCAAAAUUGGUCAUGAAAGUCGGUAAAAAUCCUACAGAUGAGUUUGCCUCUCGAUUCUCUGGAAGAGGAGAUGGAGUUAAUGCUGCUUUGACCAUCAGUGGAGUUCAGACUGAAGACGCAGCAGUUUAUUAUUGUCAGCGUUAUGAUGAAAUAAACAGUGCAUGGGUGUUCACACAGUGA